GACACCUAGUUCAAACUGAAUGAUAAAGAAGGGAGGGAUGGGGGAAGGGAAAGAGGGAGUUAUUGGUUUACAUUGGGUGGAAAGUACAGGAAUUGAUCUGGCUUUUGUCAGGAGGAGGAUCAGGGAAUCACGGGUUAGCAGGAUGUCAUGAGUCACCUGUGUCUCUCUCUAUUUCAGAUUCACUCUCCUCUGUGAAAUGACUUCAUAUUGGUGAGUCAUUAAUCAGGUGAUCAGGAAAUGUGGUUUUUGGCAGACAGUUGGGGUCAUGCAGCUUGAUAUUUUGGAGAAGUAGAACCCUCUCCUCUUCCAGAGGACACCUCAGGGCGUACAAAGUGCAAAACAUAAUGCCAAACAUACAAGCAUGAAGAGGAAAUAAUUUAGUAUUUUGCUCUCAAGGAGGAUCACAUUGUCUUCUAUCAGCAUUUUAAUGAAGCAUUGAGCUUUCUUGAGGUGUCAUUGAUAUACAAAGAACUGCACACAGUUAAUGUGCUCAACUAAAUGACUUCGGACAUCCACAAACACUCAUGUUACCAUCACCACAAUCAAGAUCCAAGAAGCAUAGCAAAUGCCACUGAUGAUAAAUACAAAGAGAACUACAGCUAGCCACAUCAUAUUCAAACUGUGGAAAGAUAAUGUUAAGCAGAAACUGUGAAGGCUGACAUUACAAAAAGGGGAAUAUAGAUACAAGUAACAACUGAUUUCUCGCUAGAAGCAAUGGAAGACACAAGAAAAUUGAAUGGAAUCUGGUAAGUGCUGAAAAAGACUGUUUACAUCAAAUACUGUAUCUAGCAAAAUUAUUUUUGCUAGAUGAAACAGUGAUGAAAUAAAGGCAUUUUCAGGUAAAGAAUAACUGAGAAAAUGGGUUGCCCAUAACCUUCACUAAAAUAAAUGCUUACAGGAAGUUCAAGCUGAAGGAAAUGACACAGAGGCUAACUCAGAUUUGCAGGAAUUAAUGACAAGAAACAGACAUGGUAAAUGUGGGAAAAUGUAC